rnacentral:lncRNA from 1 species
AUCGUUGCACUUAAGUGUGAAGCUUCACACAGUAUGAUGAGGACGUAAAUAAAGGAGGAUGUCCCUCAAGGCCUCGUAGUACAUGUCAUGAGUUUGGCGCAAAAUGAUGUACAGCACAUCUUUGAUCGCAGGUUAUAGGUUCAGGAGGUGUUGCCAUUGUUGAAGUGCAGCAGAAGGUCAAGAAAACACAGAUAUCUAUGAGCAGCGUCUUGGUGAAGGAGAGGCUGGGGAAACUAAAGGUAGGCCUGUUGACCAUCCGGUUUACUGUGUUGCUGGCUUCAUCAGGCGAAGUGUGAAACAAGAGAAGGAAGUCAUCAACACAUUAGAACGUUUUGACAUACAGACGCCAUGCUAAGGUUAUCAGGCAGCAUUCUGUCAUAACAAAGUAACUGGUCUUAGUUCGCAGGCGAAGCACGACCAAAUACGUAUGCCUUCUGUUUAGACAAAGAAUGGCUCAUUGUGACUAAGGAGGAUGGAGUGGACAUAAAAAAAAACGCAGCUCCUGUAAUCUGGUUUCACUGGUAUCAACAGUGUUUUGUAAGUGUGCAUCGCGAUACUCCCCGAUGCCUUCUUGGGUGACAUUAGCGAGGACCAGCUUCAGGUAAGGGGUAAUACAUCUUUAUGAGCUAAAAAUGCAUGCAUCCAUGGAAAGCACAUUGCGUCCAAAAACUGGGCACUUCACAGGUGCCCUGGAGAAGGAACAGACUGUUGACAGUGGGCAAAGACAAGCUUCUCUGCUACUAAACACCUAACACUGUUGCCAGGUAGCAACCUCUGAAACAAUCCCCUCAAAGGGGGAAUCAUCUCUGUGCAUCCAUAAACAGGACAGAUAGGCAAGGCCCCUUCAGUGAUGCUGCCAGCUUCAAAAAGCCCACUUCUUCGCACAUCCUGAAUGCUUUCUUAGCCUUUGCUGGGUGCAAGCCUUCUGCCGUCCAAAAGUUGUCAUUGAGAGCACUGUUGGUCUAUUGUGGCAAUAGAGUUCAGAAACAAU